GGCGGGCCUACUGCUGUCGAAAGGCUUGCGUUCCGAGCCUCGCUUUCGUCGCAAACGUGGCCGCAGCGUGAAUAUGGAGUAUUGACUGCCAUUCGGCUCGUACCUCGAAGACGGAACGGAAGGUCAGGAUGUACGAAACCGAAGGAAACAAGCAAGCGGCCCCUCCUCCGCGGCCACAACCACAGCAACCACCUCCUCGACAGCUACCAGUGAAAUGUGAAGCGGCAGGUAUACCGAAAGGACUCACAUUGUCUCACCCUAUACGUCUUCCAAGGCCGCGCCCGAAAGAUCCACAACCAAAACCUCCAGUUAACAAACCUGCUUUCAAAUGACCAAGCAGUUUUCCGAAGACUUCUUCUCAUGGAGGCCUUACUGUUAGCAGAUCUUACGUUAAGGUUGUUUUCCGAAUAUGUGGAGGACCAAAGUCCAGUCUUUAA